UACGUAGGGCGCAAGCGUUAUCCGGAAUUAUUGGGCGUAAAGAGCUUGUAGGCGGUUUGUCGCGUCUGCUGUGAAAAUCCGGGGCUCAACCCCGGACUUGCAGUGGGUACGGGCAGACUAGAGUGUGGUAGGGGAGACUGGAAUUCCCGGUGUAGCGGUGAAAUGCGCAGAUAUCGGGAAGAACACCCGUGGCGAAGGCGGCUCUCUGGGACGGUACCGACGCUGAGACGCGAAAGCGUGGGGAGCGAAUAGG
rnacentral:rRNA from 1 species